GAUGAACACUGGCGGCGUGCCUAAUACAUGCAAGUCGAGCGAACAGACGAGGAGCUUGCUCCUCUGACGUUAGCGGCGGACGGGUGAGUAACACGUGGAUAACCUACCUAUAAGACUGGGAUAACUUCGGGAAACCGGAGCUAAUACCGGAUAAUAUAUUGAACCGCAUGGUUCAAUAGUGAAAGACGGUUUUGCUGUCACUUAUAGAUGGAUCCGCGCCGCAUUAGCUAGUUGGUAAGGUAACGGCUUACCAAGGCAACGAUGCGUAGCCGACCUGAGAGGGUGAUAGGACACACUGGAACUGAGAAACGGUCCAGACUCCGACGGGAGGCAGCAGUAGGGAAUGUUCCGCAAUGGGCGAAAGCCUGACGGAGCAACGCAGCGUGAGUGAUGAAGGUCUUCGGAUCGUAAAACUCUGUUAUUAGGGAAGAACAAAUGUGUAAGUAACUAUGCACGUCUUGACGGUACCUAAUCAGAAAGCAACGGCUAACUACGUG
rnacentral:rRNA from 1 species